CUGGAAAAGUCUUUAACUUCUGUGAACCACCCAUUCAGCAGUUCCAGCCAGGCACUGGAUGGAUGAGCCCUGGCACAGGCAGUACUGGAUGGCAUCAGGCAACCAGGGAGGCUCUGCAGUGCAAUUCUUGUGCAAGGGUCAAGAUACCAUUAACCAAAGAAAAGCCCUGCUGCUGAACUGCCACGUGGUCUUCUAAGAGAAAGUCAGCUUGCUCAUCCUUCCUUUGAGUUUCAGAGUCACAGACAAUGCUGAGCAGCUGUGUGUGUAACAGUUGCAGAUCAAAAGUACAAUUAGUCUAAUGUGGGCACCAAAACAGAGAAAAGGAUGGUCAGGAAAAUGAAAGAGGAGAAUGCAAGCAAGCAUUUGGUGACAGAAGACAAUCAUUAGUCAUUGGCCAAUACCACAGGCAAAAAGAGGCCAAUGCCAUUUGGAAAGUAAUGACAUGGCCUCAGGAGAGUUUUCCUCACCAGUGCCCGGAGCUCCCCAAGCAGGAACAUGUGUGGACAUUCCUGAGGGUGCAUUGGGAGCACCGUGAGGGCCCAGCCUGCAGCCUGCACAGCACCCCCUGAUCACACCAGGCUUGCUGCACAUGCACAUCACCCCCUGAUCACACCAGGCUUGCUGCACAUGCAUAUCACCCCCUGAUCACACCAGGCUUGCUGCACAUGCACAUCAUCCCCUGAUCACACCAGGCUUGCUGCACAUGCACAUCACCCCCUGAUCACACCAGGCUUGCUGCAUGUGCACAUCACCUGGGCAGGCUUCCAACAGGUUGCAUUUGCUGUGCACACACCGUGGCUGGUGCAUACAGCCAGAGGUGGAGUGUACAGGAGCACUGGCAAUUCUUAUUGGGACAAAUAGAAAAUAUGUGAACUCUGCCUGCUUAAGAUUUCUUUUUUCCACAGAAAAAACAGAAGGUAAUCCCAGUGCAGAAGGUGCCUUGUUUUGAGAGAUCAGAGCAUGUAGGUUUUGUGUUGAGAAAUAAACCAGCAAUGAUCCUUGAUUUAGGAGAAUAUCUCAAAGUGCAGUCAGGGAGAAUCCUGCAGAUAAACUCAAUUAUCUAGAAGCACUUAUACCAAACUUCCUAUAAAAUGCCAGUUCAGCACAGCAGCUGCUCUUCCAAAUUAAUUUCACAGCUAUAGGUCAUUGUAUUCCUCUCCCUUUUUCUUUCCAACAAAGUUCUUGAUGUAGCAUGUUGGAAGUUAAAACUUUUCCAGAUUUUCUCUUCCAAUAAGCUACAAGGACCAUGAAUCUGUCCCAAUAAAAGGAUAUUCCUUUCCACUCUGCUCCCUCCAGUAACAAUUUGUGGGAUUGGGUCCUGUGACAACUUGUAGCCAGACACCACAAAAAUGCUGUAUCUACUGGAAAUCAGUAAGGAAUUUGGAUUGUG